rnacentral:rRNA from 1 species
UACGAAGGGGGCUAGCGUUGUUCGGAAUUACUGGGCGUAAAGCGCACGUAGGCGGAUAUUUAAGUCAGGGGUGAAAUCCUGGAGCUCAACUCCAGAACUGCCUUUGAUACUGGCAAUCUUGAGUCCGGAAGAGGUGAGUGGAACUCCUAGUGUAGAGGUGGAAUUCGUAGAUAUUAGGAAGAACACCAGUGGCGAAGGCGGCUCACUGGUCCGGUACUGACGCUGAGGUGCGAAAGCGUGGGGAGCAAACAGG